rnacentral:lncRNA from 1 species
UUUUGAAGGGAUUUAAGGUUUUGACCAAAUUAAAAUAUAUUUUAAUUCAUUUCUAGAUUGAUUUUUAAUUGAUUAAAUGUUUGAAAAUUAUGUUGAGCCAUUUUUAUGGUUUUGUGAUGUUUGACUCACUAUUUGGGCAUUGGUCAUGGUUGAUUUGACUUUUGUUUGGUCAAAACCAUUGGAUUUAGGGGAUUGAUGAAAUGUACAUUUCAUCUCCCAAAAUGAAUGGAUGGUUUUGAUCAGAUGAAAUUCCUCUCAUGAUCAAUUUGUG